CGUUUUCACCCCACACAUGCCACACACAAAAAAUGUCACAAAUACUUGAAAGGAAAGCUAAAUACAGAUUUAUGAGCACAAAGCACUGCAACAAUGCAAUAUGUUGGCCAAUUAGACAAGCCCAAGCAUACGUAUGUCAAAUUUUCACUGGCGGGAGAAGGGGCUUCUCAAACUGGUCAGGAAUGGAGGGUAAUUGCGAACUGACUUUUUGUAAGUAAUGUCUUUUAAGUCUUGAAAUGCAGAAAAAAAUGUUGUGACCAUAGCCCCUGUUCAGUGUGUUUGAAACUACGCCCCUGAUUAGGCGUAUGCAAUUGCACACGUAUUGGUAUUCAUUUACGCAGAACUAUCAUCAAUGUUGUCCGAUGGGAUGUGUGAAGGCAAAACGACAACAAACAAUAAAACGGCGACAAAAAAGCAUCAAAAGCAAUUAUGAAAUCACGGCAGAUGUUGGGGCAACAAAAAUUGUGGUGGUGAUUUAUAAAGCGCAGCUAACAACAACAAUGACAUCAAAAAGCGCAAAAAUGUUCGUUGUAUCGGGGCAACAAGAACAACAAGUAAAAGGAAGCGAAUGAGAGAAGGAGUGAGGGAGACGGGGAAGCUGUGGCAUGUGUUGUAUAUAAACGGGCACACACUCCAUAUGUGUGUGUGGAUAUAUAAUGCAGGACGGCGGAUAGGAUGCCAGCAAAAAAGGACUGCAGAUGCCAGACCGCAAAGAGGAGCGAAAGAAAGGGGGAGUGGAUAAGGAGAAGAGGGAGGAGGAGGGCGGCGAGAGCAGCCUACAUAGAGUGAGAUUUACGACUUAAAUGCUGCAGCGCAUAAUCAAAACGACAAGGCGCAGAUGGAAAUGGAGUGGAGUUCUUAUCCCUAUUUUCCUUCUUUUUCGUUUUUUUUUCUUUGUGGGGCGACGACGCACUUAAUUAACAAAUAUACAAACACUUAACAUAACCUCAACUGACAGGCGACAGGCCGUGUGCGCGAGCGGGACAACCGUAGGGCACGCCCCGCAACCGCUGAUUGGAUGUUCGAAAAGCCAGAGCGGGACGGAGAGUGGGAGAGAGCGUGUGCGAGAGAGAGUUCUCUUUUUGGAUCGGCUCUCAGCUGCAGCCGUCUCGCUUUGCUAUUCAGUUCGCGAGAGAAUCAGUUGGUCGGCGGUUCGUAACAGCGCACGUUACGUUUUUAACGGACGAGCGGAUUAACGUCGGUAUCGACAAGUUUAUCACCCAACCCAAAAGCAAAAGCAAAACCAAUUGUCAAUCGAAACGAUAGCGCGGCGUAUUUGCCAAUCGAAGUGAUAUCUUUGGGCUGUGGUUAAUGUUUUUAAUGCUUUCUGGCUACCCUGCAAUGCCGUCGGCUUUUGCUCCCUGUGAACUUUCGAGCUGAAGUCCUAAGCCCUCAAACUGAUGUCCACCUUGGCCAGCAGUCGACCGCCCCCGCUCAAGCUGACUAUUCCCUCCUUGGAGGAGGCUGAGGACCACACGCAGGAGAGGAGAGCGGGCGGAGGUGGCCAGGAAGUGGCUAAAAUGCAUCCGGAUUGCUUGCCCUUGCCGCUUGUCCAGCCGGGCAACUCGCCGCAAGUGCGGGAGGAUGAGGAGGACGAGCAGACGGAGUGCGAGGAGCAGCUGAACAUCGAGGAUGAGGAGGCCGAGGAGGAGCACGAUCUGGACCUGGAGGAUCCAGCCAGCUGCUGCAGUGAGAACAGUGUGUUGAGUGUGGGCCAGGAGCAAUCGGAGGCGGCACAGGCGGCGCUAUCCGCUCAAGCUCAGGCCCGGCAGAGGCUUUUGAUCAGCCAAAUCUACCGACCGUCGGCAUUCAGCAGCACCGCCACCACUGUUUUGCCGCCCAGCGAAGGUCCGCCCUUAUCGCCUGAGGAUCUCCUGCAAUUGCCUCCGUCCACGGGAACCUUCCAGGAGGAGUUCCUGCGGAAGUCCCAGCUGUACGCCGAGGAGCUGAUGAAGCAGCAGAUGCAUCUAAUGGCCGCCGCCAGGGUGAACGCGCUCACGGCAGCGGCGGCGGGAAAACAGCUGCAAAUGGCAAUGGCGGCGGCUGCUGUGGCCACAGUGCCCAGCGGUCAGGAUGCACUGGCUCAGCUGACGGCCACGGCAUUGGGCCUGGGACCAGGUGGAGCCCCGCAUCCCCAUCAGCAAUUGCUACUGCAAAGGGACCAGGUCCAUCACCAUCAUCACUUGCAGAAUCACCUGAAUAACAAUGAAAAUCUGCACGAAAGGGCACUCAAAUUCAGCAUAGACAAUAUCCUGAAGGCGGACUUUGGUUCCCGAUUGCCCAAGAUUGGCGCUUUAAGUGGCAACAUCGGAGGUGGCAGUGUGAGUGGCAGCAGUACUGGCAGCAGUAAAAAUUCUGCGACUACCAAUGGCAACAGAUCUCCCCUCAAGGCGCCCAAGAAGUCCGGGAAACCACUGAAUCUGGCUCAAAGUAAUGCCGCCGCCAACUCGAGCCUAAGCUUCUCCAGCUCGCUGGCGAAUAUCUGCAGCAACAGCAACGAUUCCAAUAGCACCGCCACCAGCAGCAGCACCACCAACACCUCGGGGGCACCGGUGGAUCUGGUCAAGUCGCCACCUCCAGCGGCAGGUGCGGGAGCCACAGGAGCAUCCGGCAAAUCCGGCGAGGAUUCGGGCACUCCCAUCGUUUGGCCAGCGUGGGUGUACUGCACCCGCUACAGCGAUCGCCCCAGCUCAGGUCGAAGUCCACGAGCGCGAAAGCCCAAGAAGCCGGCGACGUCCAGUUCGGCGGCAGGUGGCGGGGGCGGUGGCGGAGGCGUCGAGAAGGGGGAGGCCGCCGAUGGGGGCGGGGUGCCGGAGGACAAAAGGCCGCGAACGGCCUUCAGCGGAACGCAGUUGGCCAGACUGAAGCACGAGUUCAACGAGAAUCGCUAUCUGACGGAGAAGCGGCGCCAGCAGCUGAGCGGGGAACUGGGCCUGAACGAGGCCCAGAUCAAGAUCUGGUUCCAGAACAAGCGGGCCAAGCUGAAAAAGUCGAGCGGCACCAAGAAUCCGCUGGCGCUGCAGCUGAUGGCCCAGGGAUUGUACAACCACUCGACGAUACCGCUGACCCGCGAGGAGGAGGAGCUGCAGGAGCUGCAGGAGGCGGCCAGUGCCGCUGCCGCUGCCGCCAAGGAGCCCUGCUAGAAGUGGGCGUGGCAAUGCGUCCGGCAAUAUCUACGAUCUAGUAUUUAUGGAGUUCCGCCGCACACGCAGUCAAACAGCUGAGCGCAGAAUCGGCGGAAGAAAUCUUCCGAAGAAUUGGUAGCUGGAGAGGGAAAUCCCACGAGGAAACGAGCAGAGGCUGCGUGUGCGUUUUGUAUAAUACAUUCAUAAAUUCACAACUAAAUAAUUUAAUAAACAUUUAAAUUAUACACGCCGUGUUGUUGCUGUCGUUAUCAAAGAAUUUUGCAUAAUUUUAAUGUGAUUGCCAUAUCUGUUUAUGGGCCGCAGCCAAUCGCACAGUCGCCCAACUGGCCAAUUGGCCAAGUGGGUGGUCGCCAUAUACAUACAUAUAUGGUAGAUAUAGCUAUAUAGAUAAUCGAUCGCAUUUCCAUUUGCCGUGGGCGUCGGCAUUAAUUACUCAAUUAGCAAUGCGCGGAUCAAAAGAUUGGGCACCGGCCGCAGCAAUUGCUGGAAUUACAUUCGAAUUGAAUUCAUUAUGCAAAUUGAAUUUGAAAACUGCUAUCUGCGAGCAUAAUCACGCCUAAUAAACGGCGUCUCGUCUCGAUGCCAAACAUUAGCCACAUAUAUUAUUAAAUUCCCUCCUUCGUCGCUUUGUUUUCGACCCCCUCCGCUCCUCUGCGCACCUUCGUCUAAUUUAGCCAUUAAAUUUGCAUACAGUCGUCAAAUCCAGGUGUGUGUGCGAGUGUGU
rnacentral:misc_RNA from 1 species